UACGUAGGGUGCAAGCGUUGUCCGGAAUUAUUGGGCGUAAAGAGCUCGUAGGCGGUCUGUCGCGUCGGCUGUGAAAACCCGGGGCUCAACCCCGGGCCUGCAGUCGAUACGGGCAGACUAGAGUGCGGUAGGGGAGACUGGAAUUCCUGGUGUAGCGGUGAAAUGCGCAGAUAUCGGGAGGAACACCGGUGGCGAAGGCGGUUCUCUGGGCCUGUACUGACGCUGAGGAGCGAAAGCGUGGGGAGCGAACAGG
rnacentral:rRNA from 1 species